GGGCGUAGGCGGCUCGGUAAUUCCGCUCUGAAAACCCGGGGGUCAACCCCGGGAGGCGGGCGGUUACUGGGUGCUAGAUUCCGGAAGAGGCGAGUGGAUUUCCGGGUGUAGCGGGGAAAUGCGCAAAUAUCAUGAGGAACAACAGGGGUGGACGGGCUCCCUGGGACUGUACUGACUCUGAUACGCAAAAGAGUGGGGAGCAAACAAGAUUAAAUACCCUGGUAGUCCACGCUCUAAACGAUGAGCACUAGGUGUGGGGGGUGUCCACUCCCCCCGUGCCGACCCUAACUCAUUAAGUGCCCCCCCCGGGGAGUACGGACGCAAGGAUAACACUAAACUCAAUUGAAUUGGGCGCGCCCCCCCCGCGGAGUGUGUGGUUUUUUUUUAUUUACGCAAACAAACAUACCUUUGCUUGACUUGUUCCUGACAGGGAGGAAACGCAGACAUCCUUCCCGGCAGGAUCACAGGUGGAGAUGGGUGUCGUUCGUCUUCGUCGUGAGAUGUUGGGUGGGGUGUGUAAAUAAGCGCACCACCCCUCGCAUCUU
rnacentral:rRNA from 1 species